ensembl:lncRNA
GGGAAGAUAAAGGUCCUGGCAAGUCAUGGGACUUUCUCUUUUCUCACUGCCUGGCAGCAUGUGGGUGUGCUCCCCACCUUCAAUUCAGAGUACCCAAGACAGCAACUGCUUUUGGCCAUUUGGCCUGGCGAGACUUGGUCAAAUCACAAUGGAAGGAGAUGUAUAACUGUAUCAGGGGUGCCUCCCUUCUAAGCCAGAUGGAGAUCUCAGCAGGGUGUUUAGCUGGAUGAGAAAACAUCCCCACUAAGCACGCAAAGAAGGUAUUGCUGACAAUGUCUGGUUCCCAGGAUCCUAAGUGCUGAUGGUUAGUAGCAGGGAUUCCGAAUAACCUUGAUAAUUAGAUCAAAUAUAUGCUAAACUCUAGUAUUCAGAAUUGCUUGACUUCUUCAAGCCUACCACUGCAAUGAACAGAAUUGAACAUGUGAAAAUGCAAGAUUGCUUAAGUCUUGUAUGCUCAGCCUUGACAAGCAGGCAUGCCUCUGUCUGUGUGCUUCCUGCCUCCCAGCAGGAGCUGGGAGAGGCCUCCCAUCUAGAGGUCUUUAGUCUCUUUCCUGCUCACUGCUAUUUUUGUGAUGGCUCCCAGAAAUUCCAGUGGCAUCAGGACUUUAACCAUAUUUUCUGCUUCCUAAAUCUUUCUCUGCUUGUUCUAAGGAAUUAUACUUGAGGAAUUAUAUUUGAUCUGCUUAGUGGUUUUAAGCCUUAGAAAACAGGAUCAUUCCUGAAGUUAUCAGCUUGUUUACUAAAAAAUCAUUUCUCAGUACAUCCUUGACCAGUGACACAUGGGAAGGACACAAAAUCAUGCUUUCUCAAAUCAGCCUGCUCUCUGACAGAAAAUAUUGCGUAAAGGUCCAUCAUUUUAUUUGCAGAAUAUAUGGCUAAAGCCUUGUGUUAUAGCAUUUGGUAAACAAACAAACAAACAAACAAACAAAAAACUGCACUGAAAUAGGAUAGGAUUUGUGUUUUUAAAACAAUUGAAAUUAUUACUGAUUAUAAUUUCAUAUUUAUUAUGAUUUUUUUUUCAGCGGUGAAAAAGACCUUUCUAACAGCUUCACACUGUAAAGAAACAUUAUGAAAGAGGCUUCUCUGGUUCCUGGGGCCAGAGGGAGGGAGCAGGGACAGGCUAAAGGGACCAUAGGACAAAAUUAAUUUGCAGUCCAAUUUAAUAUGGCUGGAGGUAAAUACCACGUUUCUGAACUGCAUGUGGCCCAACCGACUGCAUCAUGAUAGCUUCAGCACCACAGGCUCCGUGGGGAAAGGAGAGAGAUUCUACAAGCUGCAAAGGACUGUGUCUGCUUAAGGUAAUCAUAUGUCGUGAGCAUUUAGAUGUAGUUUAUACAUCCUUGGCAAGCUUUAUUACAAAGUAAGAUAUAGGAGGAUAUUCAUAUGCUUGAAAAUGCAAAUACAAAUACCUUAAGGCUACCUUGGGAUAUAGAUGUUAAUAGAGAAUGCUGCUAGCAGUAUCUGGUCUGAAAGUCAUUCAGUCUUAUCCAUAGUGUCCCAGAGAUGAAACGUUUACAUCCAGUGAAUAGGUAUUUGUAGUUCAUUGCCCACAUUGUUUUUAAAAAAUUCAAUAUAAGUGCUCACUGUUGACUUCAUUUUCACUUUGCUGCUAUGAUUUUUCCUGUUAGCUGAAAGAACAGUUCAGUACCAGAUUUGGAGCCAUAAGGUGAAAAUUGUGGUCACCCACUUCCCUCUGCUCUCUGAGCACCUUCCAACUCACUCUUCUGAGCACAGCAUGAGUGACCUGCAUCUCUCCUCCUAGUUCACAAGCCCUGAAAGUUUUGACCUUACUACUGUCUGAUCAGAGUUCCACUGCAAAAGACUCAAGAGCAGUCCACUCAAAUUUUGCAGAAAACCUGGCCCUCGAUACUUCUCCUUUGAGACUGAUUGCUGAUUCUUAUGAUUGGAUUUGAAUCUAUGUUCCUCAGAUAUGCUCCUCUUAACAUUUAUAAACAGGAAAAAUGAAUGUACAGAAUCACCACAGCCUUGCAACAGUCCACAAUGGAUUACAAACAAGUUUUAUGGCAAAAUGCAGGCACUGUCAUCCCUGAUAUCUUUUUUACCUGGAAGGCUGAAAAGCAUUUUUACAGAAUGUGGUCCUUACAAUGGUCAAAGGUGAAUAUCUUGUAAAACACACUUUUUUUUUUUAACUGAACAAUUCAAUUCUUUGUUUAAACUCACUUAUAUACCUGCCUUUCAGUAUAACUACUUUAUUUCCCUUCUGCACGGAGAUUUGUAAGGUGCUCCUCAGCUUUCAAGAGGGAUGUAUUGCUGCUGUUAGUUCUAUGUCUGCCUAUCUACCAUGUGUCUGCAGGGCAUCUUUGUUUUCUGGGGAGAGCUGCCUCACUUGUCCCGUACUAAGCUGAACCAAUCAUUUUGGACAAUCCCACUGCUGAAAGUUUUGAACCACUUCAAUUACUAUGGCUUUGAUAUCUAUCUUUGACUGGGAAGAUAAUAGAAAUGCAAGAGAAAAGCAGCAGUUAACCACCACUGUAUCAUUAGCAACUCUGAGAAACUUUCCAGAACUUUUACCAGAUCUUCAACAUUUGUGAACUAUUGCUCUCAUGGUCAUGGAGUACCUUCAUGUGCCUAUUCUUGUCCAUUUUUUCGCUAUUAAUUUUCUGUAUUUUUCCAUUCUACUCCACUAAGUGACACUGCUCAGCAAAAAGCUCUGGUUGGUAAGGAAGUUGUGCAUGUCUUAUGGUGCACUUUUUUUCAGCAAUCCCUUCCCUAGACUUAGCAGCUGUCAAUGAUAUCGAGAUUUGGAAGUUUCCUGCACAUAUAGGUAUGACAUAAAAGAUAUCCUGUGAAGGGAACAAAAUAAGAAAGAAAGCUGAAUUGCUAUUUUCAGAUGAGAUUCUGGUUGCAAGCACAUAUGCAGUCCAUACAGAAAAUUACUGUUCCAACCCAGGAACAAGAAAAAUAGUGCAAAUGAUGCCUCUUUUAAAAGCAGCUAAAGGUUGAGAAGGCAAUCAUUAAGCAUUGAGAAUUAGAAAUACUCUGCAGAUAUGCUGUAUUCAAGACAGAAUCAUUUUUAGGUUCUAUUUAAAAAAAAUAAAAGCAGAGAGAAGCAAGUCAGAACUGCUGAGAGUUACUUUGGCUUUCCUUUUAGAAAAAUGAAAAGUAAAUGUGUGAAAUUAUAAUAGCACACUAUACUAUAAAAAACAAAUAAACUGAUUUCAGCUCAUCAUCUGCUGAAGCACUUGGUAAAAUAUCUGAAGAGAUGUCAAAAAUUCUGUGAGACUGAAGUGAAAGUGAGUGCCUCAUUGAUCUUCAUGCGUGGGAGAGACCAGUAACAUUUGACACAGAGAGAAAAAUUAUAGUGCUCCAUUCUGGAAAUGUUUCUCCUAUGGUGAAAGUGUUGACAUUCUACAGAGAAUAGCUAAAGUUUAUAUUUAUGCAGUAGAAAGAAUGGGUCCCAAAUUGCAAAUCUCUCUCUCUCUCUCUUUUUUUUUUUUUUUUUUUUCCAUCUUAGCUAUCAUUUGUGGGAGCGCUGAUUUUAUAUUUUUAUUUCCUGGCUGAUUUUGAUAUCCCAGAUCAAAUGUCUCAACUCUUUAUAGGAUAGAAAGGAAAAUAUGAAGGAUCAAUUUCUGCUAUUUCAGCAACGUUUAAGUAAGAACAGGAUGAACAAGAAAAGAACAAGAACAAAAUUCCAUCCUGGAGAUGUUUUUGCUUAGGGAAAUUCGAAUCUAUCCGGCUUUAAAUUUUAGUUAUAAUUAAAGUACCCUGUCUUUCCCUUCUUCAAGUUCUAGAGAGAAAUCUGUGUCACUACCAAGUCUCUUUGCUGGUGAAAUCUCCAGCAGCUGUUCUGCAGGGACAUUACUUCAUAGUAUUCUAUAAAGUUAUCCUUACAUUUGAAUUUCUUCCAGUUAUUAUGUAUUGUCAUUCUUCUUUGCUUAUUGUUUUCACACUGCAGUAAUGGAAAGAGCUGUCAUAGAAGAACUGUAGGAAACUAAUUGGGAAUUACUCAGAAUGUGAUUAAUUAACUGUAAUUGACUUUGUGACAUUUUUCAAAAGAACAAAUUCUUUCCUACAUAACUAAAGUUGCUGGAUUUAAUUUUAUCAGAGUCACUUUCUUCUGAACAUAGAUGUUUCAAUUUCCUGUUUUAUCUAGCACACAGUCACCAUAAACUAUCUAUAAUCUCUUCGCCACAUUCACUGCUAUGUUAUAUUAAUUAAAUGCUGGUAGAAGUCAGUGAAAUAAAGAGAAAAAAAUCUUAUGACUUGAACAUGCAAAAUUGUAAUUAAAUCCUAUAAUAUAUUCACCAUACAUUUUGAUUCUAAGGCUUGCAAAAUUGUGUAAUGUAAAUUGAGAAAAUAAUAUAAUUUGACAUUAUUUUAUGGGUUUUAAAUAUAAAGAAGUAUAAUAAAAUAUAGAAGAAUCUUAAAUUCUCUGCUUAUAUUUAAUGGGUUUAUAUAUGUGAAAAACAUAGAAGAGACCAACCAACAAACGCUAUUCACAAUGCGUAUCCUUAAAAAUUAGCUUAAAUUGUGUGAUCAUUGUUUUCUUGUGGUUAAUUCUGUGCCUGUCUGAACAUCUAUCAGGGAGAGUAGAUGCUGUUAGCUUAAAUUGGAUGAAAAACAAUGCAUUCAAGCUAUUGGAAAAAAUAAAAAGGAUAGGACAAGACAUCUUUCUUCCAGUAAAGUUUUUCAGUGUAACAGGUGAGUUCUUCCUGUGAUUAUACAUUAUUGUCACAUAACAAUUAGAGUUACAUAAAUAAAUACUUAUUUGGUCUCCAGCUGGUUUAGUACUGUUUACCUUAUGGUUGGUCUACUUUCAUCAAAAA